GGGGAAAGCAGUCAGAGGCGGAGGGGUAUGACCCGGUGCAGCUGGGAGAUUGAGUUCCGCUCUGAUGCAUUUGCUGCUCUCGCGUAGCCAGGAUCAAGGGCGGCAGUUCAGAUUCUCCAGCCAAGCCAUGGAUCCCUGCAGCUCCUCCAGAGUUACCAUGAGACGAUUGCCCUGUGAGAUCUUCAAAGCUUGAUAUAUGAGUUUAUAACUUAACUGUAAUUUAAACCACAACUCUAUCCCUGACCUGUUCGCUGUGUUCAGAAUGAAGUAACAUCUUGAACAUUAUGUAAAAAUAUCUAAAACCACAUGUCAAUUUUCAUUUUAAUAAGAACAUGUAUAGCUCACCUCACAAACAACGUUUGUUUUGUGAUAAAAGCUGAUUUAUC